UACGUAGGGUCCAAGCGUUGUCCGGAAUUAUUGGGCGUAAAAAGCUCGUAGGCGGUCCGUUAAGUCGGAAGUGAAAUCUCAAGGCUCAACCUUGAAAUUGCUUUCGAUACUGGCGGACUUGAGGCAGGUAGGGGAAGGUGGAAUUCCUGGUGUAGCGGUGAAAUGCGCAGAUAUCAGGAGGAACACCGGUGGCGAAGGCAGGUCUCUGGGCAGUUACUGACGCUGAGGAGCGAAAGCAUGGGUAGCGAACAGGAUUAGAUACCCUGGUAGUCCCU
rnacentral:rRNA from 1 species